AACACAGGUGCUGCAUGGCUGUCGUCAGCUCGUGUCGUGAGAUGUUGGGUUAAGUCCCGCAACGAGCGCAACCCUUGUCAUUAGUUGCCAUCAUUUGGUUGGGCACUCUAAUGAGACUGCCGGUGACAAACCGGAGGAAGGUGGGGAUGACGUCAAGUCCUCAUGGCCCUUAUGGGUAGGGCUUCACACGUCAUACAAUGGUCGGUACAGAGGGUUGCCAACCCGCGAGGGGGAGCUAAUCCCACAAAGCCGAUCGUAGUCCGGAUCGCAGUCUGCAACUCGACUGCGUGAAGUCGGAAUCGCUAGUAAUCGUGGAUCAGCAUGUCACGGUGAAUACGUUCCCGGGUCUU
rnacentral:rRNA from 1 species